rnacentral:tRNA from 1 species
UCCCUGUUGGCUCGGAGGUUAAAGCAUCUGCCUGCAAUGCAGGAGACCUGGGUUUGAUCCCUGGGUCGGGAA